rnacentral:rRNA from 1 species
AUUGAACGCUGGCGGCAUGCCUUACACAUGCAAGUCGAACGGCAGCACGGGAGCAAUCCUGGUGGCGAGUGGCGAACGGGUGAGUAAUAUAUCGGAACGUGCCCAGUCGUGGGGAUAACGUAGCGAAAGCUACGCUAAUACCGCAUACGAUCUAUGGAUGAAAGCGGGGGAUCGCAAGACCUCGCGCGAUUGGAGCGGCCGAUAUCAGAUUAGGUAGUUGGUGAGGUAAAGGCUCACCAAGCCGACGAUCUGUAGCUGGUCUGAGAGGACGACCAGCCACACUGGGACUGAGACACGGCCCAGACUCCUACGGGAGGCAGCAGUGGGGAAUUUUGGACAAUGGACGCAAGUCUGAUCCAGCCAUUCCGCGUGCAGGAUGAAGGCCCUCGGGUUGUAAACUGCUUUGUACGGAACGAAAGGUUUCUAUUAAUACUAGGAGCUCAUGACGGUACCGUAAGAAUAAGCACCGGCUAACUACGUGCCA